GAAGAUAUCGACAAUAUGGAAAGCAUCACACUGAAAGUACCUGCGGUGGUGGUGUUCUCUUUCAAAGAUUACACUAUUGACCGGGAGAAGAACAAGCAGGCUGCAGCUCGUACAGCUCUGUGCAAAGGUCGUGGCAAAUCAACACACACACACACACAUAGAUAUUAAAAUAUGGAACCGGCUUAAAUUAACAUUGAAACAAAACUGAAACGUGGCUGAUGUGCUUUUAAAUGUUUAAUUACUGAUCGCGGUCUGGUAUGGGGUGGGGGCUACUGUAAUAGCCUAAUAAUAAUAAUAAUAAUAAUUAUAAUAAUAAUAAUAAUAAUAAUAAUAAUAAAAUAGAAACAGGACUAAUUAAUUUAUCCAAGUCGACUUCAGAAUAAUCUUGGACCCAACAGGUUCGUAUAUCGAGGCUGUACUGUACGAUCAGCUAUUUUACUGUAUGCCUUAAAUAUUACUGUGAUGUAAUAUUUUGUAACAACGAAGUCGCUCCUCUGCUAAGAAAUAGAUACAUGUAAAUAGAUUACCCCAGUGUUUACAGGCAGGGAUGGGCAAUAUUGAAAAUACAUGUAAUUAUAUUUUUGUAAUUUGUAAAUAAAUUGCUAAAGCAUUUUAUAUUUUCUAUGGAAAGUACACAUGCCAGAGUAUUUUGUAAUUUAAAAAUUACAUUGUUUUGCAAUGAUGCUACCCCUUGAGCAACUUGUUUCCAAAGUAUUUUAAUGCAAAGUCAUUUAUAUUUAGUAUUUAGUUACAACAUUAUCAAAAAUAAAAACAUAAAACAUAACUUAUACAAAUGCAUUCUGUAGGCUUAGGCUAUUUGCUUUUCCCAUAUACAAUGUGCACUAAAAUGGCAGGUUAUGCUGUCUGUACUUAUUGUAGGCUGGCAACUAUAAUAAACUGCAUGUUUCGUUUUUCUUUUCUAUUUAGAUUUCAGUGUUACAAAGCAAGAGACACUGCUACAGCUGGACAGUCCUCAAUAACCUCCUUCAUGCAGUCACCCAAGCCAGGAGCCUUGGGAGGUAAUACUCCUACAUACUACUCACCAAAAAGUGCACAGGCUCAGGCCAUUCAUGAAUCAAUCAUGAUGGACCUGGUUGUUGGUGAGAGCUUGCCACUGAGAAUUGUGGAGUCACAAGGAUUUUUGAACUUCAUGCAGACGGUUGACCAUCGCCUUUGUGCAGAGCAUGAAAAAGAUGAUCACUCACAAGGCAAGUAGCCUGAAGCAAGAAAUAACUGAGAAACUUGCGAAUUGUGAGUCUGUCAACGCUACAGUGGAUUUGUGGUCAAACAGAAGGAUGCGAUCUUUCCUUGGUGUAACGGCACAUAUCAUUGAAGAUGAUGGUGAGGAUAUUAAAUUGUCAACAUACACUCUGGCAUGUGAACGUUUUAUGGGAAGGCACACAGGAGACCAGAUUGCAUUGGCUUUUGAUAGAAUAAUUGGGGGUUACAGAAUCAAGAACAAACUUGACUUUAUCAUUACUGAUAAUGCUGCAAAUAUUAAGAAGACAUUCACAACAUCUUUCCCAGAUGCUGAUGAGGGCACCACAGAGUGGACAGAAGACGACAUGGAAUCAUCCAUAGAUGCAGCUGCUGACCUUGACGAUAACAGUAUUUGGGAGUCCCUAGAAGAUGUGGACCAGCAGGAGUUAGACUCUUUGCUCCUCAACACAACACAACUGUGUCGUCUUUCUUGUUUUGCCCACACACUUCAGCUGUGUGUCGGUGUCGGGCUCAAACAGUGUAAAGGUGUCAGAUCUGCUAUGUCUAAGGCUACCGAGUUACAGUGCUUCUUCACUCCAGCACUGUCUUCAAAGAGGCUUUUGAGAAGAACUUUGGCGAAGGCAGAUGUAUUCCAUCCCCUAAUACCACUCUCUGGAAUUCAGUUUUACGGCAAAUGCAAUCCAUUGUAUCACUGGACCAUCAACAGCUCUCUGACACAUGUAAAGAUGCAGGCCAUGUAGAGACUGUGCUGUUGGUACGUGAAUGGGCCCAGCUCAAAGAGCUUGUUGACGUGCUGCUACCAUUUGCUGAGGCAACCAACCUGACACAAGGUGAGGAAGUACCAACAAUAAGUUUAGUGAUACCCACUGUUCUUGCCCUGGGUAGACAUUUACAAAACUGUGUAAAAAAAGCCAAGUUCCUGAAGCCACUUAUCACUGAGCUUCAAUCCUCUAUCUGGAAGCGCUACCUUGGAAUUUUAGAGUGGUUGACUUCAAUAACAGCCAUCCUUUUGGUGAGGCAGUGUAUGCUAUGGCUGCAGUACUGGACCCUGCCUUCUCUUUACAAUGGCUUGUUGACGUAAAUGUUGAAGAUGAGAAGAAAGAGGUCAUUCGUCUUAAAGUGAAAGAACUUGUGGUGAUGGAGGCUGAGUCUGUGAGUGGUAGGAAUACUUUUACUUCAAGCACAAGUGAAGAAGAUGAAGAUGAGCCACCUCACAAGUACACCAAACUCUUCUCCUCUUACAAGAAACGAUGUCCCAAUAAUGCCAACAAAACAGCUGCCUCCCAGCUCAUAAGAUAUCUGGAACUGACAGAACAGGCAGAAGACACAUCCCUGAACUUUUGGGUCUCUCAUAAAUCAAAGCUCAACAUCUUGUAUCCUCUUGCAAAGAAGAUUUUAGCAGUCCCAGCAUCCAGUGCACCAGUG